rnacentral:lncRNA from 1 species
UCAAUCUCUUACUGCUUCCCUUCUCUUUCACUUACCCUUUUUCUCUCAUGGCUGAGGAAAAAUUCUUGUUUGAAACACCCAGGAUGAAGAAAUUGAACUCAAAAGUGUAACUGGGUCGUACUGUUCAUUAGGGCCAAAACAUUCUCUCUUCACUUUUUCGUAGAUAUUCCUUAUUACUUUUGUAUUCAUUCCUCAUGCAAAUCCUUGCAAUGUUUUCUUAAUUUCCCCUUUGAUAGUUUUCAAAUCUUCAAUCUUCCAAAGCUAUUUUUAGGCCGUAAUCUCCAAAUGAAUCUUCCUCUUCCAAAUAAGCCGAACAUAGUUACACAGAAGGCUUCAGUUAUUCCAUGGCUCAUCCCACUCAGGAACAAGCGCUUCCUCUCCUCACUUCAAUGAACAACCAUGGGGAUUUGGCUGUGAAGUUGUCGUCCCUGAAGCAAGUGAAGGACAUAUUACUUUCUUCACAGCCUUCUCACGACGCAAAGUUUUUUCUGUACUCGAUUGAGCUCAGACUUCCCCAGACAUGCUCGUGCGUAAAUACCUCCUCAAGUAAGUUUUGUAACUGGAAACAUAAAUAAUCUCCGAUUUUGGUAGUUCUGUGAAAUCUUUAUUUUUCGACUCUAUUUUAUUUGAUCUUGUGAUUUUUUUUAAUUAAUGCAUUAAACACAAUUUUAUUUCUUAAUUUAUUCAAGGAAAGUAAGAAAUUAUUUAAAUUGGGUUAUGUUAUUUUUCAUGAUUUUUUGAGGAAUAAAAAAGUUGUGCAUUGUAUUUGCCCCGUCAAUGUGCUGGAUGCAGUUGUAAGAACAAGUGAGGUGGAUUGAAUUGCAGGUGUGAAUAAGAUAAACUGUACAUAUUGGAGCAUGGUAUGCGUAUUUGUAAGACAAAUUAUCCUGUUGGUUAAGCUGUGAAUAAACAAAGGUUCCAAUUUCAAUUUCGAAGAGAUUAUAGAAUUAUUGAAAGAGAUAAAUAUUUGUUUAUGGAUUGUACAUGGGUAAUGUUGUUACAAGGCUAAGAUAAGGGACGAGGCAGUGGCAUUACUAGCUCAGGCAAAAAGACAGAUACCCAUGUCAGUAGCAGCACCAAAUGCAGUUAAUAAUGCUGUCUUAAGCAAUGGAAAAAGAGGUACUUGACUUCUUUGCAAGUGGAGUAAUUCUAUUUACUGUGUUUGCUGAUUUAUGAAACUCUAUUUUGUUUGCUGCUGCUGGGGAUGAUGAGAUGGGUCAUGAUGGGGAAAAAUUACAUCUUAGAAUAUCAAAUAAUAUCAUUUCUGAGCUUUCAGGCUGUAAUGCUGCUCUUUCACAUCUAAGGAAAAAGCGAAAGGUCAUACUUUUAGUGAUAUAGAGUUUUUGCUCUGUUAAAUGGUUUUACCAUGUCUUAUAGUUUCGAUAUUGAAAAUUCUUUCCUGCAAAUCUCACAAGCUUCAUAUAUUUGUAUAAUUUCAGGUACCCCCAACAUUGGCAUUUAUUGAUGCUGUGGAGAAAUACACUCAACUUAAUGGUUAUCCUCUUCAUCGGACAAAACAAACUUGCCAUAUUAUCUUUUGACAUCCAAUAUUCCAAGUUAUGGGAUUAUAAUGUUUAUUGGUUCAUCAAUCCAUCCUUUUUCAUUCAAUAGAUUGCCUUCCACAUGGCAUGACCCUGCAUAUUACCUCUAUUUUUUUUAGGAUCUCCCCAUUUAUCUAAAACCAAGGUAUUGAUCUGGUAAUGUUGAAUUAUUGAGUUCAAGUAUAGGCUUUGGAGGCAUUGAAUCAGUGUGCUGCUGUAAAGCAAAGCAAUGACAUAGUAGUGUAGUGCUCUGUUUAAAUGGAUUUUUAUAUGGUAUUGUGGGUCGCCUUGUAGAUACUUAUACAACUUUUUGACUAUUUCCUAGCUUCCUGAAAAAGUGUGCGCCAAUACCUAAAUUCAAUUGUUUCAAGACUACUAUAGGAUUUUUUUUAUUUUUUAUUUUUUAUUUUUCGACAAAAUACUUCCAAGGAAAAAGGUGCGGCCUGAAUGCUAAAAUUUGGGCGUGGUACCCGGAUCAAUCAUUAUGCAUUAAUGGAUUGACUCCUACUUGUGUUGUUAUGAUUGUAUGGUUAAUUCUUGUUUUCAUUUGCUCUUAAUUGUUUAUAGUCAAAGGAUAUUAUUUGUGCAGGUCUAACAAGGAGAGGAAGAAACUAUCCUAUUUUAACAGAAAUCUUAGUUCAACUUAUAAACAUGGUAGACCUGAAGCAACUUAAGUUAAUUAAACACUCUGAUAUUGUAAUAUGUGCUGCAAAAUUAUCUAAUAUGAUGUCGGUUGUAGCAUGCAUUCUUAGGCUGGAAUAUCCAGUUUAUCAAAUGGUUUCAACACUUCAUUUGAAUUAUAUACAAAUUGGAUUCACAAGGUGGUGAUGAUAUUCACGUAUAGCAUGGGCAUAAGGGACAAAGUUGCUUUUUUCAAACAUUUCAAGAUAAAAUACUUUAAAAUCAUAAAAAAAAAAUAAAAAAAUACUCAUUUUAAAAGUAACUGUUACCGUACUCUCAAAAUUAACAUACUCAUUUGUAAUUUUGAUGAAUAAAGAAAAAUCUUAUUUUGAAACUUAUUUACUUAUAAGUGAACUUUUUUAGCUUAACCAAAUGUUUUCUUUCUAGAAAAAUGUAUAUAUCCAUAAGCUCAGCACAAGCCCUAUGAAGUCAGGAAGAGCAAAGUAAAAAAAGAAUUGAGGGAAUUGUUGCGGAAGCUCUCUCAAAAGAUCUUCAAACGGUGGUUUUUCAGGCUCAGUCCAACGUACCUUUCUCUACCAACAAUCAAUCCAAACGGCUCCAAACCACAACCAAUUGAUUCACCUUGGUUGCUAUACAAUCUUACUCACGUAGGACAAGAAAGGAUGAUGAUUUAUGGCCACAAAGGCUAGGAGAAGACACCACAAAGGUAUACUAUGAAAGAACUACCAAUUGCACACGUUAUACAAGCAUUUUGGAUACUUCUGGACAUCUUUUUCUCACACAAAAGGGGGCAGCCGGGAUUCACUAGUUUUAUUCUCUCAAAAUCACACAAUCAUCAUAUCAAAGAGGCUAGGGUUAUAUUCAUAUAUAUACUCUAGGGUUAGGCUUUAAGUUGGGCCAUUAAAGGGGUAAACAGACCAAGAUUCAAGCCAUCCAUAAGGAAUACAAUUGGGUCGAGUAUAGCUCAUGGACUUGAUUGUUGGACUUAUUUCAUUCAUCGGUCUAUGCGUAUGAAAUAAUAUUAACCCACGUUAACAUCAUAGCCUGGGAUUUAUUUGGUAUCAAAAACCCAACAAAUCUCCACCUUGAUGCCCAAUAAAUCUGUAAGCAAUCAAAACACACAGUUAACACUUGCAUAAUCAAGGUAGCCAAUAAAAUUGGAUCACAGACCUUACCUCGUGUUUCCAACUUGAAACACAUACCAUACCUGCUCCAUGUACUCACUGGGGCUAAGGUCAAAAACACCCAAGUAGAAGCAAAUAUUUAACAGUAAACAAUCAAGAGCAAAUACACAUGCGAUGACGAUAUACUAUAGGAUAACACACACAGAUCUUUUCAGAAACACGUUCACAUAGAACCAUAGAUUAACACCAAGUCAAUCAAACCAUGGUCAACCACAUAUGCAACACAUGCAUAAAUGACUCUAAGAAAAGAUCUCACCACACUUAUCCUAUCCCAUUCCGUGUUGCUCACACCUCGAAAACACAUAUCUCCUCUCAUCGCCCACGAUGCUCACUAGACAGAUCACUCAACUCAUGUUUAACUGGUGAGUCACAAUAGGUCCUAAGUCCACGGGAUAAUCCUCUAUCUCCACAUCACUUCUCCCAACCUACGUGGAUAAUGGGUCUCCACCUAACAGAAGUGAUAGAAGUGUCUCUCUCACACUCCACCUGAUCAGGGUCUCUUUCCAGAUAAAGGAUCCUAGACAUUUGAUCACAUCUCCACUCGUGAUCCAAAUGUCACACUCUACAUCCCUCGGUACAAACCACCAUGUACCCUUAGGCAUCUAUACUCCACCUCACCAAAAGACACACAACACACUGCUAACACAUCCUAACCUACUAUGCAUGCAAGCAAUUACACCAAGUAAUCCUAAUGUCUCAAAUUCAUGCAAAUGCACAUAUCAAACACAUUGAGAUGUAGCAAAUAAUCACGCAACAAAAUUUAGACAAUCAUACACAUGCAGAAAGGAUCACACACAGAUGCAUAUGCAGUAACUAGGUUUACACUUAAUAAACCUCACUGGGGUCAUAACUCGACCCCUCAACCAAAUUUGUCUCACCUCUCAUCUUUCCCUUCAGCUUAUCUUUCUUCUUGGGACAGUCCCUAAUAAUGUGUUCAUACUUACCACAACUGUAACACCUUUUACCACUAGUCUUGUCUCGUCCCUUGCCCUUCUUCUUACCAAUUGUUACGGAAGCUCUCUCAAAAGAUCUUCAAACGGUAGUUUUUCAGGCUCAGUCCAACGUACAUUUCUCUACCAACAACCAAUCCAAACGGCUCCAAACCACAACCAAUUGAUUCACCUUGAUUGCUAUACAAUCUUACCCACGUAGGACAAGAAAGAAUGAUGAUUUAUGGCCACAAAGGCUAAGAGAAGACACCACAAAGGUAUACUAUGAAAGAACUACCAAUUGCACACGUUAUACAAGCGUUUUGGACACUUCUGGACACCUUUUUUUCACACAAAAGGGGGGCAGCCGGGAUUCACUAGUUUCUUCUCUCAAAAUCACACAAUUAUCAUAUCAAAGAGGCUAGGGUUAUAUUCAUAUAUAUACUCUAGGAUUAGGCUUUAAGUUGGACCAUUAAAGGGGUAAACGGGCUAAGAUUCAAGCCAUCCAUAAGGAAUAAAAUUGGGUUAGGUGUAGCUCAUGGACUUGAUUGUUGGACUUAUUUCAUUCAUCGGCUUAUGCCUAUGAAAUAAUAUUAACCCACGUUAACAUUAUAGCCCGAAAUUUAUUGGGUAUCAAAAACCCAACAGGAAUUAUUAGACAAUCAUUUACAGGUAACAUUCCAACCCCAUAUUUGGUUAGAUGGAAUGUGAACCUUAUGAUUUAUACUUGAUAUGUAAUUUAGCUUUAAAUUGUAUUUUGAAAUGUUUUAAAAAAAUCAAAAUUUCACACUAAUGUUACUUCCUUGCAGAAGGAAAUGCAAUUGUUGAGAACACAAAUCAAAUUAUCAAUGAUAAUACCCUUACAUAAAUUCAAGGAACACGUAGACAUUGAAUACAUAUAUAAUAGGAGCAUCUACUAACUUUAAAGUAAUACUAUUAUUUUGUGUUCAUCUGAACUAUUAUUUAUCUUUGUACCUUUCUGCUGUUUACUAAGCUUUUCGAAUUUUAAUUUCUUAUUAAGAAAAACUGAUAAAUACAAAUCUGAAAUGUAACCAACAAAUAUUUUUGUGAAGGUACAAUGAUGGUAAUCCUAUAUCUGGAGAUGAUCAACCAU